GUUGUUUAUAGAUCUCACGUGCACUCAAGAACAAAAACACAAGUGGCUGUCGAUAUUCGCUGUAGCUAUACUGAAGAACCGCACUCUUCGGAAACACUGACGAGAGAUGUGACUUCUGACUUUUCAUGGACUUGAGCUCAAGAAGAGGGGAUUGAGCGCGAGAAACUAAGACUUGUAAAAUCUUGAUUAAAAAUAAAUGAAUAAAUAUGAAAUUCCUUUAACAAGAAACUUGUUCUCUUAGGGAAUAGAGAACAUUAAUUGUGCGACCUUUUUGUAUAUUUAGUAAGAAAUUAAAAGAAAUUAACAUAACAAGCUCGUUACGAGAAACACAUAAUGAGUCUAAAAGUUGAAAAUUGACUUGUAGAGACUGAGAGAAGAAAAAAGGAAAAAAGCUUCAAGUGUGACAAAAAGGUGUAAACUGCAGAUAAAUUCUUACCUAGGCAACAGGCAAUGACUUUGAAGGCUGUCAUGAAAUAAAUCUGGUAUGCAUUAAGGCUCAAGUGUUGUAAAAAUGGUUCGGAUGAAGCCGACGCUAUUACGCCGAUAAA